AGCACCUGGGCCAUCCUCCACUGCACUCCCUGGCCACAGCAGAGGGCUGGCCUGGAAGAGGGGCAACCGGGACAGAAUCCGGCGCCCCGACCGGGACUAGAACCCGGUGUGCCGGCGCCGCAAGGCGGAGGAUUAGCCUAGUGAGCCGCGGCGCUGGCCAGUAUAGCUGUUUUUUAAAAAGAAAGACUUGGGGCCCAUAUUGUGGGGUAGCAGGUUAAGCCACUGCUUGUGAUGCCAGCAUUCCAUAUGAGCACUGGUUCAAAUUCCGGCUUCCCCAUUUCCAGUCCAACUCCCUGCUAAUGCUCCUGGGAAAGCAGUGGAAGACAGCCUGAGUGCUUGGGCCCCUGCACCCAUGUGGGAGGUCCAGAUGGAGUUCCUUGGAUCCUGGCUUCAGCCUAGCCCCAGCCCUGGCCAUUGCAGCCAUUUCAGGAGUUAACCAGUGGGUAGAAGAUCUCUCUCUUUCCCUCUCUCUCUGUAACAUUAAAAAGAAAGCCUUAUACACCGUCUUGAUGAUUCUGUUUCAUUUAAAAUGCAUUUGUGAUUCCCUUGCUGAUCUCUUCACCAACAUUCCACACCUUGAUAUUGUUAUUAACACUUUUUUUCAAAACACCUCAGUAACCUGGAAUCAGAGAGCAUAAGCAGGGGUAGACUGAUGUUAUUGAUGACUAGGAGAAUGAAAUGGCUUAGUCUUAGAGUAAACCAAGAUGUUCUGUAUCAGGAGCUGAGGGUGGCAAAGUGAAGAAGACUAAAAUGGUUUCACAAAUGCCCUCAAGAAACUGAGUCAUGAAAAGAAAAUCUAACAGGAAAAUAAGACUGACUGAAACUGACAGAAGAACUGAAAAGUAUUAGUCUGGUGUCUUUCAAAUAUUCAUUGUCUCUGAUUAGUUCCACUGUAGGCAAAGAUAUAAAUAUAGAAUUUUGCUUUUUAUAAAGCAUAUUAUUGGGGCUGGCACUGUGGUGGGGUGGGCUAAGCCUCCACCUGUGGCACCAGCAUCCUGUAUGGGUGCUGGUUCAAGUACUGGCUGCUCUUCUUCCGAUCCAGCUCUCUGCUAUGGCCUGGAAAAGCACUAGAUGGCCCAAGUGCUUGGACCCCUGCACCCACAUGGGAGACCCAGAGGAGGCUCCUGGCUCCUGGCUUUGGAUUGGUCCAGCUCUGGCCAUGCUCUGGCUGUUGCGACCAUUUUGGGGAGUGAACUAGUGAAUGGGAGACCGUUCUGUCUGUCUCUCCCUCUCACUGUCUGUAACUCAGCCUCUCAAAUAAAUAAAUACAAUUUUUUAGAAAAAGCACAUUAUUGAAACUAUUCCCUUACUGAGAGAUUUCUUCGUUUAGGGUAGGAAUCUCCAAAAUCUUAGAUAAAGCAGUAAACACAUAUUUGCUCUAAUGGGCUUAACAUUAUGUAUUAUGGUUGAUAGUUUAAUUUAUUUAAUGUUUUAUUAAGCUUGAGAAACAUUGUAUAUUUGCAUCAAGUACUAAUCCUGAUUAGUAAGUAUUUGUUACCAUUUAUGUUUGUUUCUGUUCUGUGGGGAAAAAAAUGACAAGGAUAACCUUUGCUAAUUUGAUGCAUUGCUACAACUAUCAUUUCUUUUUUAUUUCCCACUUUAUUUGAAAGAUAGACAAAAGCAUCUUCCAUCUGAUGGGUCAUUCCACAAAUAACCGUAAUAGUUGAGGCUGUGCUAGGCCAAAGCUCAGAGCCAGGAACUGCCUCCCAGAGUUUGCAAUAAUAGGAAGCUGGAUUCUGGGAUCCUGCCUUCUCUCUAUCCCAGACCUGGCUGUUGCAGCCAUCUGGAAAGUGAACCCACUGAUGGAAGAUUGAUAUUUUCUUUCUCUCUCUCUCUGAAUAAAUAAGGUACAUCUUUUUUUUUUUUUUUAAUAGUAAGCUAAAAUCAGAAGCGGAGCUGAGAUUCAAACCCAGGCAUUCUAAAAUGAGCUGUGGGCAACACAAGCAAUGUCUUAACCACUAUACCAAAUGCCUUCCGCAUAUGUUCUGGAAACUAAAAUACAUUUUAUCUAGCAGAGUGAAGGUUUAAGCUGAGCAAUUGCUUGCAAAAAGAAUGAUUAGUCUUGCUCAAUAGUGUGUUAUGUAUAGGUGAGAUUUUUAGCAUAAUGUGAUUUCCUUAGCUGGUAUUGGAUUUAUUUUAUCUGUCCAAGAAAUGAAAGCAGCAUAUAUAUAGUACUUUGGAUUAUGUUUAUUGUAGAUCAGCUAACUAUUUAUAGGGAAUCAGUAUAAAACAAGCUUAAGAAGUCUAGUCUGUUAUAUAGAAGUAACAAGCUACAAUCUCAUCAAGGAUGGUAACUCUGCAGUUCAGUACUGUGCAAGUACCAAGAGUUGGUAAUGGCUUCUUUGUGUUACUAGAAAGAAUUGUGGUCUAUCAUUUUUUUUUCAGCUGAUAAACUCUUUGUUACUUGGUGCUUUCAGUGUUAUUUAAUAAUAGAAUUACAGCCUAAGUAAAAUAGGACUGUACAUUGGAACACAUUUCUUCUCCUCUGUUUUAAGCAGUUCUGUGAAAGAUGUUUGAGGAAACCCUAAUUGCCUACAGCCCUGCAAUGAAUUGCACAACAGAUAUAUUGUUUUAAAGUCUUGGUUCUUGGCAUGCAUUUUUCACCUUUUACUUCAGUAAAAGGAGCACUUAAUGUUAAGCAGUAUAAAUAUGUCUUUCUAGGCAACAUAAUUGGAUUCUCAUUUUUUCCUAAGGAAGAAAGCAAGGUUAGUGGUAACUAUGCAUUUCUUUUCAGGUUGUUCUUGAGUGGAGUCGGAUUUGGGUCAAGGUCAAAAAUACUUAUUUCAUCUUUGUUUCUGCUAAAAUUUGAGGGUAAUUGUAGAAUGGCUACCUAUUUAGGAGAAAAAAGCCUUCAUACAAUUUUGCAUUUUAGGUAAUAUUCAGAUGGCAUCACUUCAGUUCUCUUAUUUGUUAUUAAUUUUGACAAAACACUUUUCUAUAGGGUUUUUAUUUAUUUUAUCAUUCAACCAUGAGGUAACUGCUUGCAUGAGGACACACACAGAAUAAUUGGAAAGUCCAUGGCUUUAGCUAAUGUGUUAGACAUAUUAUACAAGACUAGUUCUAGAUUAGUUCCAUGAGAUGAUUUGAAUUGUCAAAUUCACCUAAAACAAGGUAUGUCUAAGAAACAGGCACAGCCAAGAGGAGCCUGAGGAGCCAUGACAACUAAAUGUGAUGGGGUAUCCUGGAUGGAAUUCUGGAACAGUAAAAGAACAUUUAGGUAAAAACUAAGGAAAUCUGGAUAAUGAAUGGACUUCUGUUAAUACUGAUUUAUCAGUAUUGCUUCAUUAGUUAAAACAAAUGUGCCAAUGUAAAAGAGAAUGUUAAUAAUGGAGGAACUAAGUACAGGGUAUAUGGAAACUCUUGGUACAAUCUUUUUUUUUUUUUUUGACAGGCAGAGUUAGACAGUGAGAGAGAGAGACAGAGAGAAAGGUCUUCCUUCCGUUGAUUCACCCCCCAAAUGGCCGCUACGGUUGGCGCGCUGCACCAAUCCAAAGCCAGGAGCCAGGUGCUUCCUCCUGGUCUUUCAUGCGGGUGCAGGGGCCCAAGCACUUGGGCCAUCCUCCACUGCCUUCCCGGGCCACAGCAGAGAGCUGGAGUGGAAGAGGAGCAACCGGGACUAGAAACCAGCGCCCAUAUGGGAUGCUGGUGCCGCAGGUGGAGAAUUAACCAAGUGAGCCAUGGCGCUGGCCCCUCUUGGUACAAUCUUUAUAAUUUUUAUGAAAAUCUAAAACUAUUCUAAAAACUGAAGUUUACUUUAAAACAGAAUAGUAUCGUAACAUGUGCUCUGACUUUCUUUUUAGAUGAUCUCUUGGUGAUGAGGUAAGAGAAGUAUUUAAGAAGAGCAAGAGCAGACUUACCCCAAUGGUACAGUUAGAAACGUGCCAGGGGAUUCCAAUUCAAUCCCAUCAAGGUGGCAUGUACCAAAGUCAUCUCACUAGUCAAAGUGAUCAGUUUUAGUUCACAAUUGAUCAUAAUGAUAGGAUUAAGUAUCAAAGGGAUCACAUAAAUAAGACUAGUGUCUGCUAAUAAUAACUGAUAGAAUUAAAAAAGAAUGAUCCAACAUGGGAAGCAGGAUACACAGCAGACUCCUAGAAUGGCAGAUGUCCUAAACAGCACUCUGGCCUCAGAAUCAGCCCUUAAGGCGUUCAGAUCUGACUGAAUAGCCCAUCAGAGUUUUGCAGGCAGGGAAAGACAAGACUCUGUGGCAAAGAAAAAAAAAAAAAAAGCAAAGCCUAAAUGAAAGAUCUCUGUGAGUGAGAUCCCAGUGGAAAGAACAGGUCAUCAUCAAAGAAGGAGGUACCUUUCUCUGAAGGGAGGAGAGAACUUCCACUUUAACUAUGGCCUUGUCUAAAACAGAUCAGGGUUGGCGAACUCAAGAGGCUUCCAUAGCCUUGGCAGCUCAUGACAAGAGCCUAGGGUGAUUACUGAUGCCAUAAAUAAGAGUGUCAGUUGUUAAGUCAACAACAGGAGUCACUGUGCACUUACUCCUCAUGUAGGAUCUCUGUCCUUAAUGUGUUGUACUAUGUGAAUUAAGGGUAUAACGAGUACUCAAACAGUGCUCUAUACUUUGUGUGUCUCUGUGGGUGCAAACUGUUGAAAUCUUUUCUUAGUAAAUACUAAGUAGAUCUUCUGUAUAUAAAGAUAAUUGAAAAUGAAUCUUGAUGAAGAAUGGGAUGGCAGAGGGAGUGGGAGAUGGGAUGGUUGCAGGUGGGAGGGAGGUUAUGGGGGCAAAAAGCCGGUAUAAUCCAAAAGUUGUACUUUGGAUAUUUAUAUUUAUUAAAUAAAAGUUAAAAAAAAAGAAAAAAGAAAAGAAGAGCAAGAGGAGCAGAGGUAGGGGUGAGCUGUGAGAUCUAAACUCUGACAAUCCCAAUAAUGUAGUAUCAGUUCUUGGAGAAGAACAAUUAAAAUAGAAUUGACACACUGAAUUCACCUGUAGUAGAAUUGAAGCAGUAGGAACACGGUCAUUUAACAUAAUCUGAAGCCUUUAAGCUGAAUGCAUUAUGUGAUUGAGAUCAACACUUGCUGGAAACAUCUAAGUGAUGAGUAGGUAACUUAGUUCUGCAAAAGUGCUGCAUAGUAGAUCUUUUAGUCCUUGCAAGCCAUACAGUUUUUGUCACAACCAUUCAGCUCUGCUUUUGUAGUGAAAAAGCAGUCAUGGACAACAUGUAAACAAAUGACUGUGUUUCAGUAAAGCUGUGUUUACUGAAACAGGCUACAAUCUAGAUUCACCCUAUGGCCUGUAGUUUGCUGACUCCUGAAUUAAGUGAUCAUCAUAUUGCCCAGCUCCAUUAGGUACUUGGUAGUGUCACUUUUAAGAAUGCAUAAAUGAAUGCAGUCUUGUCUGAGCAAGAUAAAAUAGUAUUCCAUCCUUCUGUUUGCAAGGAGAAUGAAAUGGCAGCAACGGAGGGAUAGGUGUGCAUGGUUUACUUGUAAAUAUACUCAUUUGUCUUUGGAAGCUCCCAGGGCAGUUUAUUAACCAUGAUCUUUUUAGGUUUAGUCUGAUUAUAUUACUUUUUUUUAUUUAUAUCUGAUUUUACUGUGACAUAGUAUUCAGCCUCCUCUAGGGAAACCCUGUACCACUUGUCUUUCCACAAAGUUUCUAACUUGUGCUUAAAGUACUGGUUCCCCAAGUGCAUGAUUUAUAUUGUGGUAGACUGUUUUUAGAUGGUACUCCAACAACUCAUUAAAAUAAACAGAAAAAAAAACAGAAAGAAUUCUCUGUAGUCUUCAGUUUUCCUGAUUUAAAUACCGUUGAGAAAAAUCUGUUCAGUUUUAAAGAUAAAUAACUGAAAUAGCCUCUUUUUAUGUUGUUUGUUUAAGUAAGAAUAUCCCUCAAGUUCACAACAUUUGGAAGAAGGUAACAGUGCCUCCCUACACUUUUGUGGUACCAUUAUUUCAGUCUGUUCUAUUUAUUUUUACAUUUACCUUCCAUUUAUGGCAAAUGAUGCUAUUUCCCAUUAGUGGAUGCUGUGUAAUUUAAAAAUUUCUAUUUAUUUAAGUGAAGAGGGUCAGUCUAAAAGAGAUUUCCUCAAGGAAGAGAUCCAGAUCAUGAGAGGGAUUGGAUGUGUGAGAGAAUCUCAUUGCUCUAUUUUUUGGUGUAGCAUGGAUACACCAGGCCUUGACAGAAUAAGAUAUCACGUAAGAGUUUCUUGAAACCACUGUGCCUGAAGAAGAUAGUUCAACUUUCCUGUUCACUAGAUUUGCAGUGUUCAUUAUUUGGGGAAAAUCUCUCAAAAGUAGACGUUCAGCUGACAGAAAGGGAAUGAGACUGGACAGCACAUUAUUGCCUACAGAUUAAGAUAAACUAAGAUUUCUUAGACAUGCUUAAGAUGAUAAAACAAAUAGCCAUUAGAAACCAAAGGAAGAGGAAGACCAAGAAGAUGUGAGGAAGUGUAGCUGUUGAAAAUAACUGAACAGUAGCUUUCUCUGUAGUCUGUAACCCCAGUUCUCUGUGUUUUUUUUUUUUUUGCAGCUAGUUCUUGAUCAUAAAAUGUCCUCUGAAUUCUCAGCCAGCCAAAUGCUUGUUGAGUGUCUUUAAUGUGUCUAACAGCAUCUACUGACCAUUUAUGUAACCUUUAUCUUUCUACAUUCACUUUUCUUUAUUCUUGGCAAUGGUGGCUGGCACAAGAUACAGUAUUGACAGUGAAAAGCUCAUAGAUCUUGAGGCCAGGCAGAUUUCAUGUUAAAAUUCUAGCUCUGCAGUAUACAGUGGGAAUAAUAGUAUCUUUCUUCUGGAUCUGUGAAGAAAAGUGCAUGAGACUUUUUGUAAAGCACUUAGUGGAGUGGUUGGCAAACAGUAGGUAUCCAGUGAAUGGUAGCACUGCUGUUAUUGUCAUCAUCAGGGCAAGUCCUGGAUGAGAGAAUGCUUUUGGAAGCUCUCAAGGAAAUGGAGGGGUGAUGAAUGUGGGAAGGAUUCAAUAUAUUGAAAAUAAUGAUCACUGCCAAGGCAAGCAACAGAGCUGUGAUUGGAGAUAUGUGCCUUUCAGUCAGCUACAGAGAGUAAAGGAAUCUUUGGUCAAAGCCUACCUUCUUAAUGAGACUUCCCCAGACUGCCCUGUUUAAUAUUAAAGUCUGCCUGAAACCUAUUUUAGUAUUUCUAAUUCUUCUACAUUAUUCCUUUUUCCUUUAGAGGCAUCCUGUUUUAAUAUGCUUUAUAUUGUUUAUUGUUUAUAUAUCUGUAUGCUGGCAUACAGUAGUAAUAUAUUGGAAUUUAAACUUCCUAUCUUAUUUUUCAUUUUGUUUUCCUGCUUGUUCUGUCUCACUUUUUAUUUUCUCCAUUCUCAGUGAUUUUUUUUCAUCACUGCAUUCCCUCUCCCACUUAGUUUGGAAUUUAGAUACUGUGUUUCAAUUCUUUUGGGAGUUACCCUUAAAAUAACAACAUGUGUUAUGGACUUAUCACAGUGUAACAUUAAUAAAUCUCAUUAUCCUUAUCUCAAAGGAUCUGAGGACAUUUUAACUAUAUCUUGCUGAUUUAUAUGUUAAUGUUUACAUAUAUUUCAAUUCUUGGUAUAUAUUUUUUAUUUAAGAUACAGGAAGAGAGAGAGAGAGAGAGAUCUCCCAUCCACUGGUGCAUUCCCCAAAUGUUCACAACAGCCAAGGCUGGGCUGGGGCCGAAGCCAGGAAUCAGAGGAAUUCAAUCUAGGUCUGCCAUGUGGGAGGCAGGAACCCAAUUACUGGAGCCAUCACUGCUGCCUCCCAGGGUUUGCAUUAACAGGAAGCUGGAGCUGGAGUUUGAACCUAGGUACUCUGAUGUGGGACAUAGGUGUCUUAACUGCUAGGCUAAAACACCUGUGCUCCAAUUAUUUCUGUAUUAGAAACAUUAUCAUUAUUGCCUUACAUAGUUGAUGUUUAUUUAGAUUUCUCCACGUAUUUAUAUCAUAUUUUGCUCUUCAUUCUCUGCUGCAUCCCUGACCUUCUUUUCCAUUGCAUUAUCCUUUAGAAAUUUAUUUUGUAUAGGUAUGCUGUGACAAACUCUUUCAGUUUGUGUUUAUCUUCAGUUUGCUUCCAUGAUUUAAGAUUAUUUUUUUGGGUAUGGAAUUGUUUGAAUGGCACUUUAUGUCAUUUAAUCAAAUACAUUAUUCAGUUGUCUUCUGAAAUCUAUUGUCACUUGUCAAACUGUCACUUCUUCAAGAUAAUCUGUCCUUUUUAUCUCUGGUAAUUUUAAGAUUUUUCUCUUUACUUUUCUAUCAUGUAUCUAGGUGUAGAUUUCAUUUUAUUAAUAACUUGUAAUAUGUUUGAUACUUUCAAAAAGAUGGUGAACUGUGUGUGUGUAUGCACACAUGAUAUCCAGAUUUUCUUUUGUUCUUCAGUGGGAAGGUUGGUCUAGGUUACCUGUUUAUUAUUUGAAGAAGAGCUCUCUUUGGUUCUUCCUUGAUUCUUAGCAUUGGUAGUGAAAUGAUAUUUGUGGUUUGAGAAACGUGAUAUUUAUUAGAGAACUAGAGAAGAGGUACUUGUCUACUAACAGGUCAUCCCAAAAUGUUCUUUCUUGUGCAUCUGUGCCAGAAAUAGCUUGUUCAUCUGUCUAUUAUCUUUGUAUGCCACAGAACUCUCUAAAGCAACUUAUCUCCACUUCAUAGUUUAAAUAAAGUACACCCGGAGAGAUUGAAUAAGGGGCCUCAUGUCGUAGCUAAUAUUGGGCACCUCCAGUAUUCAUGUUCAUGUCUUGUGAACUCUCAAAGCCUUCCUCUAUUAAUUCUGUAAUGGCUUUGAUUUAAAGAGAAAAUGUUAGUCUAUCAAGGGUUAAAUUGCCUUCUCUCAAGAGGACUUUUUCAUGAUUAAGAGAUGUUUGCAUCUGGAGUGUUUGUACUUCAAUGUUACAUGCCCAUGCCAAAAGAAAGUUGUAAGUUCAUUGUAAAAUACUAAUGUUCAAUGAUUCUUGGCUAGUAUGUUUUUCCUAUAGUCACCCAGUGGAGGACCCUAAAAAAUUCACAUGUUGAAACAUUUUUUCUUUAAUAUAAUAUCUAUGUUUUGGAUGUUUUGUAUCUAUGCUAGAUAUUCUUCAUACUCCUUUUCUUAUUUUUUUCCUAUUGAUUGAAAUAAAAUAAAGGAUUCAGUUAAAGGACAGGACAUAAUAAUUACAUAUGUGUUGAUCUUUAAUGAAUUGAUGAAUAAUCAUUAGCUAAAAUGUUUCCAGUUUUAUGAUUUUAUCUUAUGUCUAUUUACUGAUUUAAGUUUAUACAGAGUGUUGAAUUCAGCAUUAAUUAGGAACCGUGAAAUUUUUUCGUCUUGUAAGUCUUAAUUGAGUUUGUCUACCUAUAAUUUCACAAGAAAGUGAUCAUGUGGAUAAUAUAAGUAAUUAAUUUCCAUUUAGUUAUAUCUUCUAGUGGUAAACUAUUACAGUGAUUGAGGCUCGUAUUUAAUCUUGCCCAAUCAUAGAAACGGAAAAAAAUUUUUAGCUAAGAAAACAUACAAACAAAAAGUUUGAAUUAAUUCUGAGCUAAUCUUUGUCACAACUGAUUUUAUAAACUGUUAGGUUCAAAUGCUUUCUGAAUUUUAGAAGCUGUGUUUGGUUCUCUGACAUUAUAAAAUGCUGUUUUCAAAAUGCCUCAAAUUUACAAGACCUGAUUUAAAUCAUUGAUGUUUUGAUAUAUGUUAAAAGGAAAAAGUCUUCUUUUUGAAUCUUAAUUUUAGUAGAAUGAGGAAGGGUUUUUAACUGGUAGUCAGCAUCCCUAGUAAUUUAUUUUUAAAUAAGUAUUUCUUUUUUUCUUCAGAUUUUUUUAACUUUUAUUUAAUAAAUAUAAAUUUCCAAAGUACAACUUUUGGAUUAUACCGGCUUUUUGCCCCCAUAACCUCCCUCCCACCUGCAACCAUCCCUUCUCCCACUCCCUCUGCCAUCCCAUUCUUCAUCAAGAUUCAUUUUCAAUUGUCUUUAUAUACAGAAGAUCUACUUAGUAUUUACUAAGUAAAAAUUUCAACAGUUUGCACCCACAGAGACACACAAAAUAUAGAGUACUAUUUUAAUAGUAGUUUUAGGAACUCCUAGUCCAGUAUACUUUUGUUCCUUUGGUAUUCCUCAAACCACAAAAGACUGACAAACACUGAUUACUUACUUGAGACCCCAAAAUUCUUUUUAUUUUUUUAAAGAUCUAUUUAUUUGAAAGAGUUACACGGAGAGAAGGAAAGGCAGAAAGAGAGAGGUCUUCCAUCUGUUGGUUCACUCUCCAAUUGACCGUGAUGGCCAAAGCUGUGCCAAUCCAAAGCCAGGAGCCAGGAGCUUCUUCCAGGUCUCCCAUGUGGGUGCAGGGGCCCAAAGACUUGGGCCAUCUUCUACUGAUUUCCCAGGCCAUAGCAGAGAGCUGGAUGGGAAGAGGAGUAGUGGGACCUGAACCGGCACCCAUAUAGGAUGCCGGCACUGCAGGCAGUGGCUUUACUCACUAUGCCACACCUCUGGCCCCCAAAUUCUCUUUUUAUAAAGAUUUUAUUUAUUUAUUUGAGAGGUAGAGUUACAGAGAGAGGGAGAGACAGAGAGAAUGCUCUUCCAUCUGCUGGUUCCCUUCAAAAUGGCCACAACAGUUAUAGCUGCGCUGAUCCAAAGCCAGGAGCCAGGAGCUUCUUCCAGGUCUCCCAUGUGGGUGCAGGGGCCCAAGAGUUUGGGCCAUCUUCUGCUUUCCAAGGCCAUAGCAAAGAGCUGGAUCAGAAGAGGAGCAGCUGGAACUAGAACUGGAUCCCACAUGGGAUGCCAGCGCCACAGGUGGAGGAUUAACCUGUGUCACUGCGUCGGCCCCUCUAAAAUUCUUUUUAUAAAGAAGCACAAUUAUUUUUUUUUUUCAUUUUCGAUUCUCUUUAUAUACAGAAGAUCAGUUUAGCAUACAUUAAGUAAAGAUUUCAACAGUUUGCUCCCACACAAACAUAAAGUGAAAAAUAAUAGAUGAUUUUUUAAAUGAUGAUGAAAUCAGAUCAGACCUAUUGUCAUGUUUAAUCCCAGUGAGAGUCAAGUUGGGAAUUGAUAAUUUCUUCUUCUUCUUUUUUUUUUUUUUUUUACAGAAGAUCAGUUUAGUAUACAUUAAGUAAAGAUUUCAACAGUUUGCACCCCCAUAGAAACACAAAGCGAAAUAUACUGUUUGAGUACUCAUUAUAGCAUUAAGUCUCAAUGUACAGCACAUGAAGGACAGAGAUCCUACAUGAGGAGUAAGUGCACAGUGACUCCUGUUGUUGACUUUACAAAUUGACACUCCUGUUUAUGGCAUCAGUAAUCUCCCUAUGCACCAGUCAUGAGUUUCCAAGGCUAUGGAAGCCUUUUGAGUUCACCGACUCUUAUCUUGUUUAGACAAGGUCAUAUUCAAAGUGGAGGUUCUCUCCUCCCUUCAGAGAAAGGUACCUCCUUCUUUGAAGACCUGAAGAAGCACAAUUAUUUAUUUAAAAGGCAGAAUAACAGAGAAGGGUGGGGGAGAGAGAGAUCUUGCAUCUUCUGCUUCACUCCCCCAAAUGCCCACAAUAGCCAAAGGUGGGCCAGGCUGAAGCCAGAAACUUCAUGUGUAUCUCCCAUGUGGAUGGCAAGAACCCAAAUACUUGGGCCAUCAUUCACUGCGUUUCUAAGUGCAUUAGCAGGAAGCUGGAUCAGAAGUGGAGUAGCCAGGACUUGAACUGACAGAUAUGGGAUGUAGGUAUCCCAAGUGGAGGCUUAACCCACUGUCCCACAAUGCUUGCUGCAACACCCUAAAAUUCUGAGCCAGGAAUCAAGGAAAACUACAUAUAGACCUAAUGAAUUAAAUAGCUCCUAUUUUUAACUGGAUAUUAUUAGUCAUAAAAGAACUGUAGCUUGUCUCCUAAUUUUGAAUAGAAUAGACUCUUUAUGCUACCUUCUAAUGGACUUCCUUUUCAAGAACAAGACAGGCCUAGACUCACUUUUCUGUACUCCCUCCCCUACAGAUACUUCUAAAUGCCCUGGAAGUUAUCUGACAGCAAUAAAAAGGAUCUGGAAGUUGGAAAGAAGAAAACAGAACAGCUAGGAAGCUCAGCACUUGAGGGCUGGCAAUCAUGGCGAGUUCACUGGGUUUUCUUUUAAUCUCUCAUGUACUCCUGGACUGGGUGCCAAAGAGGCCUGCCACCUAGAAUUACCAAUGGGCACAGAAAAGAAAAGGCCUGCUUUUUCUGGCCAAAGGAUCAGAAAGGGGAAUCCCAACAGAGACCUAAUCAGAGUGUUCAUUCCCCACUGUUGCAUACUGGCCCAGUUUGAUCUGCCCACAGCAACAGCAGGGGCAGAAAAUUCCUUGGCUUUCCUAGCUAUUGCUCUACAACCAGGACCCAAGCAGGUGAUCUGAUCUGCCAGCAACAGCAAAGAGCUGGCCAUUUCAGCCCAGUUGCCAAACUCAGGCCCCUGUGGUCUGAUCUGCCCAGAGCAGUGGCAAAAGGAAUGUACAAUCUGUGCCCUCCACUGUACCCUACUGGCCUUAGCAGGGGGUUUGUUCAAUGGAUAGCUGUUGGCCAGCAAAGUUAUGUGUCUUCCUGGUCUCCACCCCAUGACUUAAGGAGACCCAGGCACAGUAGCUUCUGAACCUUCUCCCUCAGAGUUGUUCAGUGAUAGCAAGCGGCCCUGGGAAAUACCUUUUGUUCCUGCAGAAGGCAUCAGCAGAGAUUGAGUGGGAGUCCCAACAGCCCCAGAAGAAGGAAGCAGAUCAAAAUAUUAUUGUGAGGGUACAGAAAACUAAACUGCCACUGGAACUAAGGCCAACAAAAGUAGUCUAGAACCUGUAUACUAAAACUAAACCUGCUAAAAUGGAAUAUCUAAGAGUGGGCCUAGAGGUCUCACUGGGUUUGAUUCCUGGUCCUGACUUUGAUUCCAGCUUUCUGCUAAAAAGGGAGAGAACGAUCCAACAUGGGAAGCGGGAUACACAGCAGACUCCUAGAAUGGCAGAUGUCCUAAACAGCUCUCUGGCCUCAGAAUCAGCCCUUAAGGCAUUCGGAUCUGGCUGAAGAGCCCAUGAGAGUAUUUUAGGCAUGGAAAGCCAAGACACUCUAGUAAAAAAAAAAAAAGAAAACCUAAAUGAAA